rnacentral:rRNA from 1 species
GACGAACGCUGGCGGCGUGCCUAAUACAUGCAAGUGGAACGCACUGAUGAAGCCGUAGCUUGCUACAAUUUCAUCAGUGAGUCGCGAACGGGUGAGUAACGCGUAGGUAACCUGCCUGGUAGCGGGGGAUAACUAUUGGAAACGAUAGCUAAUACCGCAUAAGACAUUUUACCGCAUGGUAAGAUGUUAAAAGAUGCAACUGCAUCACUACCAGAUGGACCUGCGUUGUAUUAGCUAGUUGGUGAGGUAACGGCUCACCAAGGCCACGAUACAUAGCCGACCUGAGAGGGUGAUCGGCCACACUGGGACUGAGACACGGCCCAGACUCCUACGGGAGGCAGCAGUAGGGAAUCUUCGGCAAUGGGGGGAACCCUGACCCGAGCAACGCCGCGUGAGUGAAGAAAGGUUUUCGGGAUCGUAAAAGCUUCUGUUGUA